rnacentral:misc_RNA from 1 species
UUUCCGUAGGUGAACCUGCGGAAGGAUCAUUACUGAAGUGAGUCUUCAUCAUUGAAGCUUCUUCCCAUUGUGCUGGCUUUGACCGUAUGUAAUGUUGGGGAUUAAACAUGUUGAAAUUUAUUUUAGCCGUCCCCAACAAUUUAUCUUAUCCUUUAUUAAAUUGAACUGAACUCAUUUUGAGAUUACAUAAAAAAUAAUCUUUUAAUACAACUUUCAACAACGGAUCUCUUGGUUCUC